AUUUCAUCAAGAUGCAAAAUUCCCUGCCAACCUAUCGUACUUGCUAAUCAGAAGAAUAGUUCGGUGCUGAAAGAAAAUCCCUGCACAGUCCUGAAUGUUUGUAAAAGGGGCGAUUAAAGAACUCUUGAAACAGUGGCUCAAAAAAUGUUAAAAAAUCAGUAGUGAGAGGCUGCACACAAACUCAAAGUCUCCCACUCUGGCUACUUGGAGAAAGUAUAUCCAUAUAUUAGAGAUCAAAUCAAGAAAUCAAGUGCUCCAAAAACACAUAUUAGUUGUCAGCCCAUCGCAACCCAGCCUGUAGGAGUCAUUUGGAAAUCAGUGAAGAAGCCGACAAUUGGAGAUAGUUCCAAGCAUCCCCAUGUGGGAUACCUUUUUUGGCUCAUUGGUGCAGCUUCUCUAGCUACUUGUUCUGUUUUGUUGUUCAUCUCACUUUCUCUGCUCCUCAUCUGAAGCAAAGCACUUAACUCUAAAAUUCAAUCUGAAGUUUUCUGAGCUUCCUCAACUCACCAUGUGGGACGCGGAAAGCGAGACCGGAGGAGGGCGAGAUUACAGCAAUGGAGUUCUCAGCAUAAGCAAGCAUGGACUUAAAACCGAUGGUUUUGAGCAAAGAGGCCAGUCUUGGUAUGUUGCAACUGAUAUCCCAAGUGACUUUUUAGUUCAAAUUGGAGAUGUUAAUUUCCAUUUACAUAAGUAUCCUCUGCUUUCUAGAAGUGGCAAGUUGAACAGAAUCAUAUAUGAAUCACGGGAAGACCUGAACAAGAUAGUUUUAGAUGACCUCCCAGGUGGACCUGAGGCUUUUGAGCUUGCAGCAAAAUUUUGCUAUGGGAUUGCUGUUGAUCUGACAGCAAACAAUAUCUCUGGCCUUAGAUGUGCAGCAGAGUACCUGGAAAUGACAGAGGACUUAGAAGAAGGCAAUCUAAUAUUCAAGACAGAAGCUUUUCUCAGCUACGUGGUUUUGUCAUCAUGGAGAGAUUCUAUACUAGUACUUAAAAAUAGUGAGAAGCUGUCGCCAUGGGCAGAGAACCUUCAAAUUGUCAGAAGAUGCAGCGAGUCCAUUGCCUGGAAAGCUUGUGCUAAUCCAAAAGGAAUAAGAUGGCAAUAUACAGGGAGGCCCCCAAAAGUAUCUAGCCCUAGUUGGAAUGAAAUGAAGGAUUCCAGUCCAAGCAGAAACCAACAAGUGCCACCUGAUUGGUGGUUUGAAGAUGUUUCGAUUCUCAGGAUUGAUCACUUUGUACGUGUUAUUACUGCUAUUAAGGUAAAGGGGAUGAGACAUGAACUAAUUGGAGCUGCAAUAAUGCAUUACGCAGCUAAAUGGCUUCCAGGACUAAUAACGGAGGGAUCAGCAGCAGCUGAUGAGGGAAGCAAUUACAGCCACGCUAAUGACAUAAACAGAAGUUGGAAAGGGGGGCUCCAUAUGAUUGUAGCAGGGACAAAAGAAGAUAUACCAACUGUUCAGGCUAAGGAUCAAAGAAUGAUUAUUGAGAGCCUUAUUAGCUUAAUACCUCCCCAGAAGGACAGUGUUUCCUGUAGCUUCCUUCUUCGACUGUUGAGAAUGGCAAACUUGUUGAAAGUAGCUGCUGCUCUGGUUACUGAAUUGGAAAAGAGGGUAGGCAUGCAGUUUGAACAGGCUACAUUGGCAGAUCUUCUCAUUCCUUCAUACAACAAGAGUGAAACAUUAUACGAUGUUGAUCUAGUUCAAAGACUACUGGAGCAUUUCCUUGUCCAAGAGCAGACAGAAAGUUCAAGUCCUAGCAGACAAUCAUUUGCUGAAGCACCCCAAAGGGGUACAAAUCCAAAUGCUAAGAUGAGAGUGGCAAGGCUGGUUGACAGUUAUCUAACAGAGGUGUCCAGAGAUAGAAAUCUCUCCCUAACGAAAUUUCAGGUCUUGGCAGAAGCUCUACCUGAUUCAGCAAGAACCUGUGAUGAUGGACUAUAUAGAGCUGUUGAUUCCUACCUGAAGGCCCAUCCAACACUAUCAGAGCAUGAAAGGAAGAGGCUUUGCCGUGUAAUGGAUUGCCAGAAGCUCUCAAUUGAUGCAUGCAUGCAUGCUGCUCAGAAUGAACGGCUUCCUCUAAGAGUAGUAGUGCAAGUUCUCUUCUCUGAACAGGUGAAGAUAAGCAAUGCAAUAGCUAGUAGCUCCCUCAAGGAAGCUGGAGAAUCCCACUACCACCCAAUGGUGUCAACCCGUAAGACAUUGCUUGAAGGGACGCCACAGUCAUUUCAAGAAGGAUGGGCAACUGCCAAGAAGGACAUCAACACUCUCAAGUUUGAGCUUGAAACAGUCAAGGCUAAGUACUUGGAACUCCAAAACGACUUUGAAACCUUACAGAGACAGUUCGAUAAGAUGGCUAAGCCAAAGCAAACUUUCGCAUGGACCUCAGGAUGGAAAAAGCUAGGCAAGCUCACCAAGAUGUCAAAUUUGGAAAACCAUGAUGAUGGACCCCAGAUUUCGAAUCCAGAACAACCUAAAAAGGCACCUAGAAGGUGGAGAAAUUCCGUUUCUUGAGACCUAAGGAAGUGAAGAAGUAAGAUAUUUCCUGAUAAACUUGAUCCCCCUAUAUUUCAUUUUUCUAUUCCUGUAGCUGUAGUCGUCUUUCUUUUUUUUCCUCUUAUUAGGAGUACUCCAAAGGUUCCCUCCUCCUUCACAGGAAUUAUCUUAGGAACUUUCACAUUUGAUCCUUCUGUCUUUGGGUUCAAUUUGUAUCUUUCAUUCCAUUGAUGUGGAGCAUAUAAGCAAUUGGGCAAGCAUACACUGGGACCUGGAUGGAUUGGAAAAGGAUUAUCAGUGGCAUUAUCUCUCUCUCUCUCUCUCCAUGUAGGUUGUCAUAGUUGUCCAGUUUUUCCAUAAGAUCUUGCACGCAAAAUUGCAGAGAAGGAACAAUUCAUCAGCUUCCUGAAUAUCAAUGGAACACUAAUUGUAUAUCAUGAGAAUAGUUCAAAGCCAGACAAAGUUGUUAGGGUAUCAUACAGUAUCCAAGAAACUAAUAUAUUGGAGACAGUCCUACCAUAAUGCCGAAGUCAGCAUGCAGAAUAUCAAUUACCAUUCACUACAUUAAGCAUGGACAUAUCCAUAUGAAUGGAUCUUACGCUUACACAUACUUGUUACUUUGACUUUUAAUACGAGUCAGCACAUGCCUUGGCACUAAGAAUUUGCUGAAGACAC